rnacentral:rRNA from 1 species
AUUGAACGCUGGCGGCAUGCCUAACACAUGCAAGUCGAACGGCAGCACGGGAGUAAUCCUGGUGGCGAGUGGCGAACGGGUGAGUAAAGCAUCGGAACGUGCCCAGUCGUGGGGGAUAACGUAGCGAAAGCUACGCUAAUACCGCAUACGAUCUGUGGAUGAAAGCGGGGGACCGUAAGGCCUCGCGCGAUUGGAGCGGCCGAUGUCAGAUUAGGUAGUUGGUGAGGUAAAGGCUCACCAAGCCGACGAUCUGUAGCUGGUCUGAGAGGACGACCAGCCACACUGGGACUGAGACACGGCCCAGACUCCUACGGGAGGCAGCAGUGGGGAAUUUUGGACAAUGGGCGCAAGCCUGAUCCAGCAAUGCCGCGUGCAGGAUGAAGGCCUUCGGGUUGUAAACUGCUUUUGUACGGAGCGAAAAGGCUUCCACUAAUACUGGGGGCUCAUGACGGUACCGUAAGAAUAAGCACCGGCUAACUACGUG